UCGGGCCCGGCCCUGCUGAGGCGAGGCCCGGCCCGCACAGCCCAGCCCCGGGCCCGUGUCCCGGCCCCGCCGUGGCCGCCAGUCCCUGGCCCGCCCGAGGCCGGGCUCACACCCACCCUGGAGCCCCGGGCUGGCCUGGCCGUGGCCAAGUGACCGCAGGUCCCACCUGGGGGAAGGGCCCAGGAAGGCCAAAGGCUAUUUAAACCAAAUUCUGUGGCAAGCACACGUCCUGACCCUACCUCCUCUUGGAAAUUCUAUCGGCUGAACACCACUGGAACCAGCACUGGAUGACAGCAAAGGAUGCCAAGAGACUGAUAUGGGUGAAUCAAGAGCUGCUGGUCAGACUUAAGCAUAAGAAGCAAAUGAACGGUCUGUCCUUCAUUAAUUCCAAGUGAUGAGUGAAGUUAAUGGGAAGUUUUCUUCCCACUGAGGUGCAGAUUUAAUGGAUGCUUAAGAACACAGAGGAAGCCUGUCUCAAACUGAAAGCAAAGGGAAUGCAUAGGCUCUUUGAAAGGAUCAACAGUGAAUAAGUGUCCAUUUGCAUCAGCUGGCUCCACUGGAAAUAAAUGUUUGAUGAAAUGUCUUGAGAAGA